rnacentral:rRNA from 1 species
GUCUAUUUAAAGUGAAACCGCGAAUGGCUCAUUAAAUCAGUUAUGGUUCACUGGACCGUACCACAUCCUACUCGGAUAACUGUGGUAAUUCUAGAGCUAAUACAUGCAACUAGGCCCUGCCCGGCCGCUCCGUCCGUCAAAACGACGGUCGGUCGGAAAGGGCGCCAUUAUCAGCUCAAAACCGACCGGGUCGCCCGCCGUCCUCUGGACGGGCAGGGCUCCCGUUCUCGUUGACCCUUUGACGACUCUGGAUAACCUCCUAGCGGAUCGCCGGUCAAACUUAGGUCGGCCGGGUGUUUCGGCAUCCGCGCCCGACCUAACGGCGACUGGUCUUUCGAAUGUCUGCCUUAUCAACUGUCGACGGUAGGUUAGACGCCUACCGUGGUCGUAACGGGUGACGGGGAAUCAGGGUUCGAUUCCGGAGAGGGAGCCUGAGAAACGGCUACCACAUCCAAGGAAGGCAGCAGGCACGCAAAUUACCCAAUCCCCGAACGGGGAGGUAGUGACGAAAAAUAACGAUACGGGACUCUUAACGAGGCCUCGUAAUCGGAAUGAGUCCGCUCUAAAUCCUUUUAACGAGGAUCUAUCGGAGGGCAAGUCUGGUGCCAGCAGCCGCGGUAAUUCCAGCUCCAAUAGCAUAUAUUAAAGUUGCUGCGGUUAAAAAGCUCGUAGUUGGAUUUGGGUUUUCAGGCCGGCGGGCCGCCACCUUCGAGCGGCGUGUCUCCCGCCGCGCCCCCGGAACCGCACGGUCGCAGAGGCCCCCGCGGUGCUCUUGAGUGAGUGUCCGCCGGUUCGGGUCGCCGAACGUUUACUUUGAAAAAAUUAGAGUGCUCCAGGCAGGCCGGUAAAGCGUUGUUUAAAAAAGACCCGCGCCUGAAUAGUCACGCAUGGAAUAAUGAAAGAGGACCGGUGGUCCUAUUUUGUUGGUUUUCGGGAUUUUCCGCCGUCAUGAUUAAGAGGGACGGCCGGGGGCAUUCGUACCGCGGC